AAUCAUUGGCGAAGCCAGGGACAAAACAACAGCCUGGACUCAGUCUCCCCAGGAGUGGAGCUGACUCUGGACAGCCAAUGCAGGUAAACAUCAAACACACCAGUCCAUCUCUUUUAUGAAGACAAAUGGCCUUCUACUAACACAACUCAGAUGAGUCUUCCUGGAGAGUUGAGCUAAAUUGUGUUUUAGCCAAACAGAUUACCCGUCCUCUUAUGUGGAGAAAUAGUUUUUAAUAAGGCAACUCCACAUGGCCCAUUGCUCCCUUCUAAACGGCAGCACAGAAGAUAACAAAGAGACCUGAAAGGCAAUGCUUGGCCAGAUGCUCAUUCUUCCCCUUUGCAGCCCAUGAAGUCAAGAGGAGAAAAUACACAAUAGAUCCCAGGCAAAAAUAUAUGCAAUCAGUAUCUGAAUAUGCUGAAGAAAAAUUUCACAGGUCAACCAAGGAAGAGGAAUGAAGUUUAAAUUUCC